rnacentral:lncRNA from 1 species
ACCAUGGCGGCCGCCCUGGGCGCGGGCGGAGGAGCAGGCGCUGGAGAUGAUGACUUUGACCAGUUUGACAAGCCUGGUGCAGAACGGUCCUGGAGAAGAAGAGCUGCUGACGAGGACUGGGACAGUGAACUUGAAGAUGACUUGCUUGGAGAAGAUUUACUGUCUGGCAAAAAGAAUCAGUCGGAUUUGUCAGAUGAAGAGCUGAAUGAUGAUCUUUUACAGAGUGAUAAUGAAGAUGAAGAAAAUUUCAGUUCUCAGGGUGUCACCAUCAGUCUGAAUACCACCUCUGGCAUAGUUACAUCAUUUGAGCUGUCUGACAACACCAAUGACCAAUCCGGAGAACAGGAAUCUGAGUAUGAACAAGGAGACGAUGAGCUAGCCUACCACAAACCUGAGGAACAAGAACUGUAUACUCAAGAGUACCCAGAGGAAGGACAGUAUGAAGGCCACGACACAGAGCUGACAGAAGACCAAAUAGAAUAUGGGGAUGAGCCGGAGGAGGAGCAGCUGUACAGUGAUGAAGUGCUGGACAUUGAAAUCAAUGAACCUUUAGAUGAGUUUACAGGAGGAAUGGAAACCCUGGAACUCCAGAAAGACAUCAAAGAAGAAUCAGAUGAAGAAGAUGAUGAUGAUGAAGAAUCUGGA